rnacentral:rRNA from 1 species
AACGAACGCUGGCGGCGCGUCUUAAGCAUGCAAGUCGGACGGUAAGGAAGGAGCUUGCUUCUUCCCUAGAGUGGCGGACUGGUGAGGAACGCGUGGGUGACGCACCCUUCGGACGGGGAUAGCCGGUAGAAAUACCGGGUAAUACCGGAUAAGAGCGCCUCCUUAGAGGGAGGCGGAGAAAGCGGCUUCGGGCCGCGCCGGAGGAACGGCCCGCGUGCUAUUAGCUAGUUGGCGGGGUAACGGCCCACCAAGGCGACGAUCAGUAGCCGGCCUGAGAGGGUGAACGGCCACAUUGGGACUGAGACACGGCCCAGACUCCUACGGGAGGCAGCAGUGGGGAAUAUUGCACAAUGGGCGCAAGCCUGAUGCAGCAACGCCGCGUGAGGGAAGACGGUUUUCGGAUUGUAAACCUCUGUCUUUGGUGACGAAGAAGUGACGGUAACCAAGGAGGAAGCCACGGCUAACUACGUG